rnacentral:rRNA from 1 species
UACGGAGGGUGCGAGCGUUGUCCGGAAUCACUGGGCGUAAAGGGCGCGUAGGCGGCCUGAUAAGUCGGGGGUGAAAUCUUGCGGCUUAACCGCAAGGCUGCCUUCUAAACUGUCGGGCUAGAGCACAGUAGAGGCAGGUGGAAUUCCCGGUGUAGCGGUGGAAUGCGUAGAGAUCGGGAAGAACAUCAGUGGCGAAGGCGGCCUGCUGGGCUGUUGCUGACGCUGAGGCGCGACAGCGUGGGGAGCGAACAGG